rnacentral:rRNA from 1 species
AAUCAACGCUGGCGGCGUGCCUAACACAUGCAAGUCGAACGCGAAAGUUCCUUCGGGGAUGAGUAGAGUGGCGUCCGGGUGAGUAACGCGUGGGUAAUCUACCUUCGGGUGGGGAAUAACCCAGGGAAACUUGGGCUAAUACCGCAUAAUGCAGCGGCUCGACAUCGAGACAGUUGUUAAAGCAGCAAUGCGCCUGAAGAGGAGCCUGCGUCUGAUUAGCUUGUUGGUGAGGUAAUGGCUCACCAAGGCUGCGAUCAGUAGCUGGUCUGAGAGGACGGCCAGCCACAAUGGCACUGAAACACGGGCCAUACUCCUACGGGAGGCUG